UACGGGGGGAGCAAGCGUUGUUCGGAUUUACUGGGCGUAAAGGGCGCGUAGGCGGUCAGUGCAAGUCAGUUGUGAAAUCUCCGAGCUUAACUCGGAACGGUCAACUGAUACUGCUCGACUAGAGUGCGGAAGGGGCAACUGGAAUUCUUGGUGUAGCGGUGAAAUGCGUAGAUAUCAGGAGGAACACCAAUGGCGAAGGCAGCUCGCUGGGACGGUACUGACGCUGAGACGCGAAAGCGUGGGGAGCAAACAGG
rnacentral:rRNA from 1 species